rnacentral:rRNA from 1 species
GAUGAACGCUAGCUACAGGCUUAACACAUGCAAGUCGAGGGACCGGCGCACGGGCGAGUAACACGUAUCCAACCUGCCUUUUACUCGGGGAUAGCCUUUCGAAAGAAAGAUUAAUACCCGAUAUAAAGGAUGGGGAUGCGUUCCAUUAGGUUGUUGGUGAGGUAACGGCCCACCAAGCCUUCGAUGGCUAGGGGUUCUGAGAGGAAGGUCCCCGACAUUGGAACUGAGACACGGUCCAAACUCCUACGGGAAGCAGCAGUGAGGAAUAUUGGUCGAUGGGCGGUAGCCUGAACCAGCCAAGUAGCGUGAAGGAUGAAGGCUUCUGGGUCGUAAACGUCAUUUAUAUAAGAAUAUGUAUUAUAUGAAGAAGCACCGGCUAACUACGUGCCAACAGCCGCGGUAAUUC